rnacentral:rRNA from 1 species
UACGGAGGGAGCUAGCGUUGUUCGGAAAUACUGGGCGUAAAGCGCACGUAGGCGGCGCAGCAAGUCAGGGGUGAAAUCCCGGGGCUCAACCCCGGAACUGCAUCUGAAACUGCAGUGCUAGAAUCUUGGAGAGGCGAGUGGAAUUCCGAGUGUAGAGGUGAAAUUCGUAGAUAUUCGGAAGAACACCAGUGGCGAAGGCGACUCGCUGGACAAGUAUUGACGCUGAGGUGCGAAAGCGUGGGGAGCAAACAGG